GCCGAUUUAGCUCAGCGGUAGAGCAGCUGGCUGUUAACCAGUUGGUCGCAGGUUCGAGUCCCGCAAUCGGCG
rnacentral:tRNA from 1 species